rnacentral:misc_RNA from 1 species
AAACAAACUCAAGCCUGCCCUGUCCUGCCUUGUUAAGCAACACAGCGAGACAUCACGAGAGCUAGAGAGAGAUGGCGGCCACGGUUUCCUCCUUCCCGGUGGUGAACAUGGAGAAGCUGGAGACAGAGGAGAGGGCCACGGCCAUGGAGGUCAUCCGCGACGGCUGCGAGAACUGGGGCUUCUUCGAGCUGCUGAACCACGGCAUCUCGCACGAGCUGAUGGACGAGGUGGAGCGGCUGACCAAGGCGCACUACGCCACCUUCCGGGAGGCCAAGUUCCAGGAGUUCGCGGCGCGGACGCUGGAGGCCGGCGAGAAGGGCGCCGACGUCAAGGACGUGGACUGGGAGAGCACCUUCUUCGUCCGCCACCUCCCGGCCUCCAACCUCGCCGACCUCCCCGACGUCGACGACCGCUACAGGCAGGUGAUGGAGCAGUUCGCAUCGGAGAUCCGGAAGCUGUCGGAGAGGCUGCUGGACCUGCUGUGCGAGAACCUGGGCCUGGAGCCCGGGUACCUGAAGGCGGCCUUCGCGGGGUCGGACGGCCCGACGUUCGGCACCAAGGUGAGCGCGUACCCGCCGUGCCCGCGCCCGGACCUCGUCGACGGCCUCCGCGCGCACACCGACGCCGGCGGCAUCGUGCUGCUGUUCCAGGACGACCAGGUGAGCGGCCUGCAGCUGCUCAGGGGCGGGGAGUGGGUGGACGUGCCGCCCAUGCGCCACGCCAUCGUCGCCAACGUCGGCGACCAGCUGGAGGUCAUCACCAACGGGCGGUACAAGAGCGUCAUGCACCGCGUGCUCACGCGCCCCGACGGCAACCGCAUGUCCGUCGCGUCCUUCUACAACCCGGGCGCCGACGCCGUCAUCUUCCCGGCGCCCGCGCUCGUCGGCGCCGCCGAGGAGGACCGCGCCGAGGCCGCGUACCCGAGCUUCGUGUUCGAGGACUACAUGAACCUGUACGUGCGCCACAAGUUCGAGGCCAAGGAGCCCAGGUUCGAGGCCAUGAAGUCGGCCAUCGCCACCGCGUGAGAAAGACUGCCUUCCGCUGCCGGCUUCCUUCGUGGCGUCAAGCCUUGAGGCUUGAACGAACAACGUACGUCCAUGUGCUUAUAGUGGCACAGUUGUGUGUGUAACUACCGAUCGUGGAACGGCCUAAUGUAUUUCGGUUGCCUCAGAUCGAUCUAUAUGUGCGUAUACAUUAUGUACUCAAAAGUGUGUAGCGUCUGGUUAAUGUACGAGCAGUGUGUAUGUGACCAGGACCCGGUGUGUAGUUGCUAUUACUACCAUAUCCGGUGAAUGAUCAAACCUUUUGGUGUAUUAAAACUAGAUGUUCAUCCCCCUCACGGACU